rnacentral:rRNA from 2 species
CGCGAAAACUCUACAAUGCACGAAAGUGUGAUAGGGUAACCCCUCGUGCUCGUCGAAAGGCGGGCUUUUGUUAAGCUUAGCGAGCUUAACGAAUAAGUGGUGGGCAAGACUGGUGCCAGCAGCCGCGGUAAUACCAGCGCCACUAGUGGAGAUCAUGAUUACUGGGUCUAAAGUGUUCGUAGCUGGCUGAGUAAGUCUCUUGUGAAAGUUCUUUGGCUUAACCAAGAAUUUGCAAGAGAUACUGCACAGCUUGAGACCGGAAGAGAUAAGAGGUAUUGAUUGGGUAGCGGUAAAAUGCUAUAAUCCUUUCAAGAUCAACUAAGGCGAAGGCAUCUUAUUUGGACGGAUCUGACAGUGAGGAACGAGAGCCAGGGGAGCGAACCGGAUUAGAUAACCCGGGUAGUCCUGGCCGUAAACGCUGCGAGUUACGCUUUGCUAAUUCUAUGAGGAUUAGCAGGGGGAAGCGAAGGC